UACAGAGGUGCCAAGCGUUAGGCGGAAUCACUGGGCUUAAAGCGCGUGUAGGUGGACGGGUAAGUAUCUUGUGAAAUCCCACGGCUCAACCGUGGAACUGCUGGAUAUACUGCUUGUCUUGAGGCACUUAGGGGCAGCUGGAACAAAUGGUGGAGCGGUGAAAUGCGUAGAUAUCAUUUGGAACGCCAAAGGCGAAAGCAGGCUGCUGGGAGUGAUCUGACACUGAGACGCGAAAGCCAGGGGAGCAAACGGGG
rnacentral:rRNA from 1 species